CCUGCUUCGUCGCUGAGUCCCGUCACGAAGGCCAGGUAUCACUUCGCAUGAUGCGGAGCGACGGGAACGGUGCACCCAGCAUCCGGGCCACUUCGGUGGUUCUUGGGGUAAAGCUCACUUCGGUGGGCCGAGAAUCUAGGAUCUCGAACCCGACAGGUCAUGCCUCGUAAGCGCUCCUGGAAAUGAAU
rnacentral:sRNA from 2 species